GCGGGUGUGGCCAAGUGGUAAGGCAAGAGCUUCCCAAGCUCUCAUUCGCGGGUUCGAGUCCCGUCACCCGCUCCA
rnacentral:tRNA from 1 species